CCUGCCGAAAAGUCCAGAAACAAUGGAGAGAGAUAGGGAGCUUCGAUUUCCUCCAGUCCACUGUCAUCUCUUCCCUUUUUCUGUCGUCCUCCACUGUAUUUUAUCUCUCCCCUCUGGUUUCCGGUGAUCGCGCGGUGAAAGUGGAGACUUGGCGUCCCUAUGUGAUACCCAGGUUGUCCGUCGUGCUUCCCUGUCUCUACUUGUUUUCUUUGUUGCUUCUCCGUUCUUGCUGUUCACGUACACGCAGCUGGGGUCCGAGAAUCAGGUCGUCGAAGCUGGUAGGGUUGUUCGCGAGCUCAUCUCUGUUUGAUCUAGUGCUGUGAUUCUGUUUUCUUCCUUUCGUGUGCACCCUGUCUCUGAUUCGUUCUCUAUGCAGUUCGUGAUUUUUUUUUUUUCCUUCUUCUAUUAUUGCUGUGGUUGAGUGCAUCUGGUCCUUUAGCCUUCUUGUGCGUUUCUGAAGAGAGAAAGAGGAGUGGUCUGCCAUUGGUUGAAGCUGGAAAUAGGAGAACUCCUCUCCCUGUUCUGUCAGCUUCUUCUCGUUCUCUCCCUCCUCUGUUACUGUUGGUACUUAAGGGUGUCUAGAGGAAGAGGAUCUUGAUAAAAGUGAUAAGGAGUAAGCUAUAGAGGUUGGAAAGGCUUAUCAGGACGUUAUUCACUGGAAAAGAUAUUUUGGUCUCAGAUGGUAUAGUUGAACUCGUGACUCGAGAUAUCCACUGAGGAGUUUUAUUGCUGAAUUGAAGCAGAAGAAUUAUUUUAAUCAAAUUCUAAUUUGAUGAAAAAUUUGAACUUUAUACCUACAUUAGCAUUUGGCCUUAGGUGCUCCACAUAGACUGCAGAGUUUCUUCGAUCAAGGCUUAAGGAAUAUGAGUUUUGUGCCUAUAUCCUGUACCGGUCACACCUGAUUUUUGGGGCGUGACACUUACAUUGAAAGGCAGAACAAGUGAAGUGGAGCUAGUCCAAAGGCUGCGCAGAACAAAUGAUAGCGGAGGAAAGUUAUAUACAAUAGACACUCAUACCGGCUUGUGGCUUAAGCAAAAACUACAAAAUUUCUUGAUUUUGAUUAUUAGUAAAAGCCAUCCAAUUUCAAGUUCAA